rnacentral:lncRNA from 1 species
ACUCCAACAGUCUAGACACAAUAAUUGACUCGGUGCGGAUCAAGCUUACCCGCACCGAUUUAAAAGUAUGACGGCCAACAGAAGUGGCCAGAGUAUCUUACAGGCAAACACUCGGCAUACCGAGGAUAAAGUUUGAUCAUGCGUCAGCUGGGCCCGCAUCAGGACUGGAGGGCUCCACAAAAGUAUCCAGGUCGAUUCCAUCAGCAAUGCGGGUAGCAGUCUCCAGGAAUGUCUCCAUGAAGUCUUCGAAUUGAAGCUUCUUCGUGUUGGCGACCUUCAAUGCUUUCAGCUUAUCUUCCCGCACCU